rnacentral:lncRNA from 1 species
AUAUCCGAGUGCUCCAGGGAGAGUAUACUGUCCCCCAUCUCCGGCUUGCCGGAGUGAAGCAUGACGGGGGAUAGGUCUCCCGCCUCUUGGCUUGCCUUCAUCGGCCGGUCAGAGUGGAGUCGCUAGAGCAAGGUUAGUCCUGCUCGGAGGGUAGGUGCCUCGUGGUAAGUGGCGAGUGGGCCGGUGAUGCUGGACCCACAGGGAGCGCGUGAUCUGCGUUUAAAGUCCGCCGAGGUAUCCUCACCCUUCUCAGCCGCUCAUGUCCCUGUUGCCCUCUUGUUGCUUUUCAGUGACUGAUUCCCGGGGGCCCAGUAAGUGAGUUGGCGAGUCUCCACCUGCCAUUUUAACAUGUAUUUAAUACAUUGUCAUCGGCAGGUGCCAUAGUUCCCGUAGUUUCCCCAUUCCUAGUCCAUUAGCAUCCCAUCACAAUAGCCCAAGUAGUUUUAAUCCAUAGUUAGCAAUAGUUUAGCACAGAACCGGGGAUUGUCCUUGGGUACAUUUCUAUAGUGUAUACAGGGAUAAUCGUCGGUUUUGUGUCACCAUUUCAUUAAAGUUGUCUCAAAAGGGCUUCAGCGUGUUGGCUUCGGCCCCACGUUCGCCUCCCAAAAAUCCGGGACUCUAUAGUCCCGAGGUCUGGUAGAGACAUACAAGAUAAUAAUAAUAGCCUUUAUU